rnacentral:snRNA from 1 species
AUGCUCUCUUUGGCAGCACAUAUACUGAAAUUGAAAUGACACAGAGGAGAUUAGCAUGGCCCCUGUGCAAGAAUGACAUGCAAAUUUGUGAGGCCUUCCAUAUAAUA